rnacentral:rRNA from 1 species
CACACCGCCCGUCACGCCAUGGGAGCUGGAGGGACCCGAAGCCGGUGUGCCAACCGCAAAGGAGGCAGCCGUCUAAGGUCAAUUCAGUGACUGGGGCG